UGAGGAAUCUUGCGCAAUGGGGGAAACCCUGACGCAGCAACGCCGCGUGAGUGAUGAAGGCCUUCGGGUCGUAAAGCUCUGUCAGAUGGGAAGAAAGUUUCGGCGGUGAACAAUCGCCGGGAUUGACGGUACCGUCAGAGGAAGCACCGGCUAACUCCGUGCCAGCAGCCGCGGUAAUACGGAGGGUGCAAGCGUUGUUCGGAAUCAUUGGGCGUAAAGAGCGUGUAGGCGGUCGGGUAAGUCAGAUGUGAAAUCCCUUGGCUUAACCAAGGAAGUGCAUUUGAAACUGCCCGGCUUGAGUACGGGAGGGGGAAGUGGAAUUCCCGGUGUAGAGGUGAAAUUCGUAGAUAUCGGGAGGAACACCGGUGGCGAAGGCGGCUUCCUGGACCGAUACUGACGCUGAGACGCGAAAGCGUGGGGAGCAAACAGG
rnacentral:rRNA from 1 species